GACGAACUGUGCAAACGUUAUUCGGAAUCACUGGGCUUAAAGGGUGCGUAGGCGGUCUUGUAAGUAGGGUGUGAAAGCCCCCGGCUCAACCGGGGAACUGCGUCCUAAACUGCGAGGCUAGAGUGAGGUAGGGGUGUGUGGAACUUCCAGUGGAGCGGUGAAAUGUGUUGAUAUUGGAAGGAACGCCGGUGGCGAAAGCGACACACUGGACCUUGUCUGACGCUGAGGCACGAAAGCCAGGGGAGCAGACGGG
rnacentral:rRNA from 1 species